rfam:Canis lupus familiaris chromosome 21, whole genome shotgun sequence.
GGGGGGAGGCCGGAUCCUGGGCUGUGUCCCGGCGCCCUGUGCUCCGGUGCCUGCGCUGUUGGCUUCGCGCUUCCGCCCGGCAGCCCCCU